AUAGUCAAUCUCAAUUGAGUUUGCUAAUGAAAAAAUAUGCUUGCGAUUAACUUGGAUAUUGAAUGGCACAGCGGUUGAUUGGUUAUUUUUUGCUAGCAAUGGUAGAUUUUUUUUGAAUAGAGGAAGGCACAUGGAUAGGAAUGCGAUACAAGAUAAGUGGAAUAUAAAUGGCAGUGAAAUGUUCUAUAGAACCAAAAACAGAAGUGGAAUUGUAGAAUGCAUAGCAAUAGGAAAAAGAAACUGAGAUUGAAAAUGAAAAUACUAAUGUCUGUAAAGAAUAUUUAUACUUCUUUAAUUAAGAGCUCACUAGACAGAGGACAAGAAGUAGCACCUUUCACAUACCCUUCCUCACCAGAGGCAGAGGACAAGGCAAAGGAGGACAAACCUUUGUCCGUAGCAAAAAAAGUAAGCUCACUAGACAUUUUGUUUUUGCUCCUAGGACACCAAGCUUUUGGGUGAAUAGCCACAUACUUAUGGGAAUCAGGUAUUUCAUGGCUUCCAUAAUCCAAUCUCAGACAAAGAUACAGUUUUUGAGCUGUGGGUUUUGAUGGGAAAUUGGAACAAAACAGAGGGAUAGUUGAGGAUAUGCCCUUUAGCAAAUACUUGGGGUUCAAGAAGGUUUCUUUGUUGAUAUUGGAUUGAAGGUAAUUGGAAUUGAACUUUCCAAUGCUUUGGUAAAGAUUACCUAGAGAACCCACCAUGUCAUUGCUUAGGAGAAGCUUGAUUACGGUGGCUAUUGGCAAUGAGAUAAGUGUGAAUAAGAAAUCAACGAAGUCCUUGUUGGCUACCACGAAUAGAAGACUCUAUUGCUUUGUGUAUCUAUUAGAAACUUCAAUCGCCAACCAUCCUCCUUGUUGUCUUUAGGGUUAGGGUUAGAGGCUGCCAUUGGCAUCACUCUGAAACUAUGGAAGAUUUCGUAGUGGAGAAUUUGGCCCAAUACCCCUGUUUGAAAGGCCUUAAUGUAAACUACCCCUCCCGUCUCAAUCUUUUUGUUUUAUCCUCCUAUUUUCAAAUAUUCCCAAAUUACCUUUUUUCAAAAAUCAAAAAGAAAAAUCAAGACGAAAAUCUAUUCCAUUUUUCCCCUGAAUGGAGCACGAAGAAGAAGAGGAAGAGAAACUGAGGGAGAAUGGCGAAGUGGCUUGGGACAACUGGAGAGUUCUUCAGGAGGAUGGACGAGUGGAGGAAGCAUCCGAAACUUAGUAAUCAGCUCCGCCAUGCCUUCCCUAUCUUGGCCUCGAAGUCGCCACCUUCGGUGUCUACUUAGUCGGUAAACAGGCCUACAAAAAAACUCCUUGCUCCUUCCUCCUCCUCCUCCUCCUCUUCUUCUUCGUCUCACCACUCUUCCCAUUCUCUGCUUCUCAUUGACUCACUAAGACAACUAAAACAACAACCUCAUCAGGUGACGAUGAUCAUUCAGCCUCUCAAAUCUUCUUUUACUUUUUGUUCUAUUCGGUCUUCUAGGUCUGCUUUUAUUUUUGUUUUUAUUAGCUGUAUGAGAAAUUUUAUUGAUUAGUACAUUGAAAAUAUUAAGUUAAUGGAUCUUACAGAUGGGAUAUAGUAAUUAUUGAUUACUGAUCGAAUUUUUAGAACCCUAUUAUUUUUCUGGUUUUAUUAUUUGGGGCCAAAAUCAUAUGCAUUUGAACUGUUUGUUGACAUGUUUUAUUGGGUUGCAUGUGUGUGGUGGAAAUUAUAUAAUGGUUUUGCUUAUACAAAUGAAGAGAAAAUUACUUGACUUUCACCCAUGGCAGUAUGAGUGGAUUGGUUCUUUGUCGUCCCUUCGACAAGAUAACUUACAGUUUUUGGAAAUGAAACGAAAAUGGUCUUUUACUACACCGUUACUUUGGAAAUCAUGCUUAAAGGUUUCAAAUAAUACCAUGAGCGAGAAACUAUCAUACUAUGAUAUUCAAUCAUUUCAAAAACGUCACAAUGUUUUAACUCUUUUAAAGAAAUAUCAGAGAAAUAUAAAAUUAUUUUUGCUCUGUUUGCUUUGGGUAAUUUUUUUCUUGUAUUUUUUAAACUAAUCCAAAUUAAUUAUCUACAAAAAUGAUUAAGCCUUUUUAAUCUGCAAAUAAAUGAUUAAUUGACACAAAUAUAGAGUUCAUAGAGCUGGUUGCUGCAAUUGAAAUCUUAAGGUCAAUUGAUACUACGCAAAAGUAUGAUGCUAAUCCAUAAACCAUGAACUACAUAAAGAUCUAAAACAAUCAGACUAUGAUCUUGGAUUUUUAACUGAUGCUUUUAUGUUACUUGUGCUAUUUGCAUCUAUAAGUAUCAAUCUGAAUUGGCUUAAUUCUUUGAAUACACCAAGACUACAUUUAGGUAUCAAGCUUUCUGCCAAAAGUGAAGCACGACAAACAAAUCAUUGCAAACUAUGAUUUAACUCUCUAUCAUAUGGUUCUUUCGUCAAACCAUAUUUGACAUAAAAUUAGGUUCUGCAAUUGCUCAUAUACAUAUUAACAUUCAUAUAUUCUAUUUGUAAUAUUGCUCCACAUUAGUGCAAUUGUUAGAUCUACGUAAGGUUUAGGUAAAACUGUGGUUUGCUGUUUACCAUUGACCAUUAACAUUUAAAGCAUGUGGUGUUUGAGGUUCUCUAAUUGCUGCCAGUUCUCUAAUAUGAUGAUGGGAGAAAGAGAUUGCAACAAUGUAGAGAAUGCAUGAAUCAGAUCCUUAAGGCUACCAUGGCGAUCAAUAGUAGCGUUCUGGCUGAGAUGGAAAUCCCAAAUGCUUACUUACAGAGCUUGCCUAAGAGUGGAAAAGAUUGUUUAGGUGAGAUCAUAUAUCGUUACAUGACAGCAGAUAUGUUCUCCCCAGAGUGUUUUCUUGAUUAUUUAGACUUCUUAUCAGAAUACACCACCCUAGAAAUACUAAACAGGAUUGAGGCUUCUGUGCACAUUUGAAGGCAAAAGAACCUGAAACGGCGUUUCAGUUGAUGAAAAGUCUCGAAACUCAUCCUGAAUUGGAAAGGUCAAAGGUUUUGCCGGUAACAUGCAUAGAAAUAAGCUUCUUGCAUAUCGGCUGGAGACCCUCUUACAAAAUUUAAAGAUGUGGUUCCCUGGCCUCCCACGAACUACUCUGGAUAUGAGCAAGAUUCAGUAUAACAAGGAUGUGGGACAGUCAAUCUUUGAAAGCUAUUCUAACGUGAUGGAAAGCUUAGCCUUCAAUAUAAUGGCAAGGAUUGAUGAUCUCCUGUAUAUAGAUGAUGCCACAAAACAACACUCUGCUUCAGAAUCUAUAUCUUUAUAUGACCAGGGAAGAUUUGGCGGUACUCUUCCUAGACGAAAGCAGAGAUCACCAAGCCCUUUCUCAAUUCAACACACUUCUUGUGCCUCUCCAAUUACAUUACCAGCAUCCUAUCCUCGCAACUAAAUAGUUAAAAGCCGUGGUGAAAGAUUGAAACGUUCCAUAAGGAAGCGCAACAUAGCAGAUACACUGGAUGAGGAGUUUGGAAAACUAACUUUCUAAUUAUGGGGAAAUAAUUGGGUUCAUUUCCAGAAUAAUUAGUACCUCAAGAUUUGGGUAAAAUUCAGAAUUAAUGGUGGCCAAUUUCUCAGUCUGUAUGUAGCAAAAAGAUGAUAUUGUUUGCCUGUUGAAAAGUAAUUAAGGUUCCGAUUUAAGAUUUUUUUUUUUUUUUUCCCUGCUCUAUAAUAACAUUCAGUAGGUUCCGAUUAUGUUGGUUAUUGUGCCCAUUCGAACAAAAUCUACUGACUGUUGAGACUUCCAAGACGACACGAAAAGCCAAGCUGUUGUUCAAAGAAAUGCAGGUGUCAACUGCUUUUGUAUGUAUAGAGGGAAUAAAUAGGAGUUAGGUCUAAGGUUUUUGCCUUGUCUUCAUCCCGACCCCGACUUAUGUAUAAGGUUUUUGCCCUGUUCCCACCCCGAUACCCCGAUUCCCCAUUUAAUUAGAGAUUCAUUACAAGGAUGUGGAAUGCAAGGAAAAUUGCCAUUUUUAUUGGGAUUAUAGACAGGUCAUUGGUAAUUUUGAUUACAUAAUAUUUUUUG